rnacentral:tRNA from 1 species
UCCGUAUCAGCGCAUAUCAGUCUACUCAUCAUUCGUAAUGAUGGGGUCGCAGGUUCGAGUCCUGCAAGCGGCACCA